AAAAAAAGAAAAAGAAAAAAGAAAAAAAGAUUGGUACACGGAGAAAGGAGAGAGAGAUGAGGCGCGCCGAAGACCCUAACACACAGAGAGACCGAGAGCCAGAUUAAGAGAUCCCAACAAUGGCGACACGUUUUAAGGAGAGAGAGAGAGAGAGAGAAAAGAGAAUUCCCACUUUCCUAACCAUUCGACAAUUCCCCCUCUCUCUUCGGUCUCAUCACCAUCCCUUGCCAAACUUAGACCACGGGAACCGGCACCGGUAACCUAAAGGGAGAAAGACAGACAUCUCAGGGCCGGCACUACCGUCGGCCUCCAACCACAAGGAAACUUUGUUUCUUCUGCCGUUGCACCGCCAGAGCCGUUAUUGGGUGGGCAGAGUCACUUCCAUGCAACUUUGAAGGCAUCAUGCAUGAGAGGCUAUAUAAUAUUCCGAUUGAACCUCAACAUAAAACUUCAGAUGAAAGUGCAGUAAAAUGACAUGUCAAAAAUAAACUGAAACGCCACACCCAAAGAAACAAAACCAGUCAUUCUGCCAUUUUUGUCACCACUGUACUGCUAGAAUAGUCACCAGGUACUAAAAACAAUGUUGACUGUGUUGAUGACUCUAUAGUUGAAAUCAAAUGCUCUAAUUUAGCUAAUGUUAAUGUUGAAAAGUCUUUUGAUGGUUCACAAGAUAGUGAAUCUUCUGUUUCUCAAAAAAAAGAUAGUGAAUCUUCUGAGUGCUUCAAAUGCCCAUUAGAGAAGGUAUUUAUUUAUGACCUUCACAAUGAGUUCCACUCAUGAUUUGCAUGUCCUAAACUGCAGCGAAUGAUGAAGCCGUUGAUGUACUACACUAUAUUACUUUUGAAAUGGUGUGUGCUUAAUGGCACCAUGUAUGCUUUCCCCAUGGAGUUUAAGUUGCACCACUACUAUGUUCGUGCUACUGGUGUACAAGUCUAUCAUAUUAGAUUGCUGCAUCGUUCAAGAGCUACUAUUGCGUUAAGGCUGCAUCAAUCAAGUGUUGCUAUUGUAUUCAGUGAUGAAAUACUCAUUGACGUACUGUAAUAAUUAAUCAGUAGUUGAAAUUUACAAGAUAUGUGAAAUGAUUCUUCUUUUUUGCUUUCUACACAUUGUAUAAUACAUUUGAUUAAUCAAUUUUAUAAUUAUGCUA